rnacentral:rRNA from 1 species
AUUGAACGCUGGCGGCAGGCCUAACACAUGCAAGUCGAACGAGUGGCGGACGGGUGAGUAAUGUCUGGGAAACUGCCCGAUGGAGGGGGAUAACUGCUGGAAACGGUAGCUAAUACCGCAUACCAUCGGAUGUGCCCCGCUGGGAUUAGCUUGUAGGUGAGGUAACGGCUCACCUAGGCGACGCUCCCUAGAUGUUCUGAGAGGAUGACCAGCCCCCAUGGAAAGGAGACACGGUCCAGACUCCUACGGGAGGACGAAGUGGGGAAUAUUGCACAAUGGGAGAAAGCCUGAUGCAGCCAUGCCGGGUGUAUGAAGAAGGCCUUCGGGUUGUAAAGUACUUGCAGCGGGGAGGCGUUACCCGCAGAAGAAGCACCGGCUAACUCCGUGCCAGCAGCCGCGGUAAUAC